rnacentral:rRNA from 1 species
AGCAUAUCAAUAAGCGGAGGAAAAGAAAACUAACAAGGGAUCCCCCUAGUAACUGCGAGUGAAGCGGGAAAAGCUCAAAUUUAAAAUCUGGCAGCUUUGCUGUCCGAGUUUGUAAUCUGGAGAAGUGUUUUCCGUGUUGGACCGUGUACAAGUCUCUUGGAAUAGAGCGUCAUAGAGGGUGAGAAUCCCGUCCAUGACACGGACUACCAAUACUUUGUGAUACACUUUCUAAGAGUCGAGUUGUUUGGGAAUGCAGCUCAAAAUGGGUGGUAAAUUCCAUCUAAAGCUAAAUAUUGGCGAGAGACCGAUAGCGAACAAGUACCGUGAGGGAAAGAUGAAAAGCACUUUGGAAAGAGAGUUAAACAGUACGUGAAAUUGUUGAAAGGGAAACGCUUGAAGUCAGUCGCGUCUUACUAGACUCAGCUUUGCUUCGGCUUAGUGUAUUUCUAGUGAGACGGGUCAACAUCAAUUUUGGUCGGUGGAAAAAGGCUUGAGGAAUGUGGCGUAUCUUCGGGUACGUGUUAUAGACUCUUGUUGUAUACACUGGCUGGGAUUGAGGUCUGCAGCACGCCUUUAUGGCCAGGGUUCGCCCAUGUAACGUGCUUAGGAUGUUGGCAUAAUGGCUUUAAGCGACCCGUCUUGAAACACGGACCAAGGAGUCUAACAUGCCUGCGAGUAUUAGGGUGGAAAACCCUUGUGCGUAAUGAAAGUAAAAGUUGGGAUCUCUCGCAAGGGAGUGCACCGACGCCCGGCCCUGAAGUUCUCUGACGGUGCUGCGGUAGAGCAUGUAUGUUGGGACCCGAAAGAUGGUGAACUAUGCCUGAAUAGGGUGAAGCCAGAGGAAACUCUGGUGGAGGCUCGUAGCGAUUCUGACGUGCAAAUCGAUCGUCAAAUUUGGGUAUAGGGGCGAAAGACUAAUCGAAACCAUCUAGUAGCUGGGUUCUGCGA